UUUGGUCACUAUAAUAGCUACUACUACGAUUGCUUCCCGAAUUAAAAGAAUUGCUUGACUGUAGUUUGUUUUGGGCUCUCGGAGUUCUGGGACUAUCAACAAACACGUCAUCUUCGAGAUUUUCGUCUAUGUCUGUCAGUGCGUUCUGUGCUUUGAUUUUACAGCUAGAACAACUGAAAUUGUUCUUAGUAUUGCAGCAACACGAGUCUAUUGAACACCUUUUAAAUGAGAUCGAGGAAGCAAACCCUCCACUUCGGCGAAAUCUAAAGGAAUUUCUACGACUCUGGUGAAUGGAACACCCAAUCAUCGAGUAAAUUACUAUCAAAACAAUGUCUACAACAAGAGUAGACACAAUUAAGUAGAUUCCAUGCCAGAAAGGUUUAAUGGAUUUUUGGUUCAAAAUGUAAUCGUCGUCUAUGAGACAGGUUGUGGAGAGGAUACCAUGGUGAACAUUGGUAUAUGUUCCAAAAAGAAACAAAGCCGGCCAAGUCGUUAGAACAGCAAUAACGAAAGAGAAAGCAAGGUAAAUUUUACAUCGCGUGAUUCCAAAUAAUGAUCUUUUAAACGUGUAUCUGAUGCCAAAUAAUCGGUCCAACGCAAUGCCGAGCAGGAUCAUAGUAGAAAAACAAUUCAGAUGAUAUGUCAGCCAACGGGAGAUUUUGCAGAGAAUUGGGUAGUCAAACGAUGUGAUAUUCACCAACAACGCAAUCUCGAAAGGCAUCGUAGACAGACAGUUCAACAGGUCGACCCAAGCAAGAGUCAAUAUGAAUAAAGUAGACACUUUGCGUUUCCUCUCCCAUUUCCGGUUGUAGACGCAGCAGGUUAGGAUAUUUCCGGUUACUCCGAGGGGCAGAAGAAGAGAAACAUAAACCAGGGACGGCAAAAGCUCGGAGUGAAGUACGCUGACGAAUUCUUUCUUCUGAAGUGAUUCAGUACUUGUAUUCAGGAUGCCGACCCUUGAAACCUCUUCGUCCAGCCUAUUUGACGAGGGAUUCACGCUCAAAUUCAUUGUUUAAUUUUGUCUACAAACAAUGAAUGUUUAUCAAUAUAGAUAAAUCAUUUUGCAAGGGUUUAUUUUUUCACAAUCAGAUUUAUUGUUUUGUGUUCUAAAAUUUUAGAGUGGAUCAUUUUAAUUUACUUAAGAUCAUAGUUUUUCACAAUUUUACUUGUAGAUUCGAAAUCUUUACUAAAAUGAUAUUCUAAUAAGCAGAAUUAUGCCUAUGCUAUGCAGAGAGAAAAAACCCAAUAAUCAAUUAUCUAAAAUAAUAAUCUUGAAAGGGAAGGACUUUUUGUAAUUUUCUCCAAUUUUAUAGCCCCUCUGCAACAUUAAAAACAUACAGAGCACAUUUAUCUAUAUGUAUGAAUAUUGCUUAACUAAAUUUUUCUUUAUGCAUAGCAAUUAAGACAUGGAAACAAAUACAUGUAACAGUAUACUUUAGAUGAAGCAUAAGUGAUUUGUUAAAUGAAUACGUACAUUUUUGGAGAAAAGUUUUUGAUAUUAAAUAAUUUAUAACUGUUGU
rnacentral:sRNA from 1 species